GCGUUUACAAUUAAAUUUGACUAAAAUUUCAUAGGUAUAUAGUUUUUUGGCGUUUCUCUAAACGAAUUUGACAAAAAUUUCACAAGAAAUUUGUUCGUUCAUGCAUUUCAAAUCAAAUUUGACAAAAAUUUCAUCUGAACUUUUUCAUUGGCGCGUUUUCAAUCAAAUUUGAUUAAAAUUUCACAUGACUUUGGUUCAUUGGUACAUUUCAA
rnacentral:lncRNA from 1 species